rnacentral:rRNA from 1 species
UGCGUAGGCGGUUAUGUGUGUCAGAUGUGAAAGCCCAUGGCUUAACCAUGGAACUGCAUUUGAAACUGCAUAACUUGAGUAUCGGAGAGGUAGAUGGAAUUCUAGGUGUAGCGGUGAAAUGCGUAGAUAUCUAGAAGAACACCAGCGGCGAAAGCGAUCUACUGGACGAAUACUGACGCUGAGGCACGAAAGCCAGGGGAGCGAAGA